GACAGAGGAUGCAAGCGUUUGUUCGGAAUUACUGGGCGUAAAGGGUGCGUAGGCGGCUUUUAAGUUUGGUGUGAAAUCUCCCGGCUCAACUGGGAGGGUGCGCCGAAUACUGAGAAGCUAGAGUGUGGGAGAGGAAAGUGGAAUUCCUGGUGUAGCGGUGAAAUGCGUAGAUAUCAGGAGGAACACCGGUGGUGUAAACGGCUUUCUGGACCAUAACUGACGCUGAGGCACGAAAGCGUGGGUAGCAAACAGG
rnacentral:rRNA from 1 species